rnacentral:rRNA from 1 species
GAGAUAGCUGGUUCUCCCCGAAAGCUAUUUAGGUAGCGCCUCGUGAAUUCAUCUCCGGGGGUAGAGCACUGUUUCGGCAAGGGGGUCAUCCCGACUUACCAACCCGAUGCAAACUGCGAAUACCGGAGAAUGUUAUCACGGGAGACACACGGCGGGUGCUAACGUCCGUCGUGGAGAGGGAAACAACCCAGACCGCCAGCUAAGGUCCCAAAGUCAUGGUUAAGUGGGAAACGAUGUGGGAAGGCCCAGACAGCCAGGAUGUUGGCUUAGAAGCAGCCAUCGUUUAAAGAAAGCGUAAUAGCUCACUGGUCUAAUGGCUCUGCGCCGAAAAUGUAACGGGGCUAAGCAUGGUACCGAAGCUUUGGCAAUCUCCUUUGGAGAUUGGGUAGGGGAGCGUUCGCUGCGGGCUGAAGGUGUAUCGGAAGGUAUGCUGGACUGCAGUGAAGUGAUUAUGCUGACAUGAGUAACGAUAAAAUAUGUGAAAAACAUAUUCGCCGAAAACCCGAGGUUUCCUGGGUAAAGGUAAUCUUCCCAGGGUUAGUCGGAUCCUAAGGUGAGGGUGAAAGCCGUAACCGAUGGAAAACAGGUUAAUAUUCCUGUACUUGUUGUGUAGCGCGAUGGAGGGACGCAGGAAGAUAGGCGGGCCGGGUGUUGGAUAUCCCGGUGCAAGCGUGUAGGAAUAUCCGGUAGGCAAAUCCGCCGGACGAAUCUGAGACGCGAGUCCGUGGGCGCAAGCCCUGAAGCCGUUGAGUCUAUGCUGCCUAGAAAAGCUCCUAAGUUUAUCCACAGCAAUCCGUACCGCAAACCAACUCAGGUGGGUGGGAUGAACAAUCCAAGGCGCUCGAGAGAACUCUGGCCAAGGAACUCGGCAAAAUAACCCCGUAACUUCGGAAGAAGGGGUGCUCUCUAGGGUGACAUGUUUAACAUAUGAAGCCCCGGGGAGCCGCAGUGAAUUGGUGGUGGCGACUGUUUACUAAAAACAUAGGUCUGUGCGAAGUCCUAAAGACGACGUAUACGGACUGACGCCUGCCCGGUGCUGGAAGGUUAAAAGGAGGGGGCAGCGCAAGCAAAGCUCCGAAUUGAAGCCCCAGUAAACGGCGGCCGUAACUAUAACGGUCCUAAGGUAGCGAAAUUCCUUGUCGGGUAAGUUCCGACCUGCACGAAUGGCGUAACGAUCUCCACACUGUCUCGGCCAGAGACUCGGUGAAAUUGCAGUCGCGGUGAAAAUUCCGUGUACCCGCAGAAAGACGGAAAGACCCUGUGCACCUUUACUAUAGCUUGACAUUGGAUUUUGGGCCUGCAUGUGUAGGAUAGGUGGGAGGCUGUGAACCCUGUACGCCAGUAUGGGGGGAGCCAUCCUUGAAAUACCACCCUUGCAUGUUUAAGAUCCUAACUUCUUCCGGUUAUCCCGGAGAAAGACAGUGUCUGGCGGGUAGUUUGACUGGGGCGGUCGCCUCCUAAAGUGUAACGGAGGCAUGCAAAGGUUCCCUCAGCCUGAUCGGAAACCAGGCGCUGAGUGCAAACGCAUAAGGGAGCUUGACUGUAAGAGAGACAUCUCGAACAGGAACGAAAGUUGGCGUUAGUGAUCCGGUGGUCCCGAAUGGAAGGGCCAUCGCUCAUUGGAUAAAAGGUACGCCGGGGAUAACAGGCUGAUCGCAUCCAAGAGUUCACAUCGACGAUGCGGUUUGGCACCUCGAUGUCGGCUCAUCACAUCCUGGGGCUGAAGCAGGUCCCAAGGGUACGGCUGUUCGCCGUUUAAAGUGGUACGCGAGCUGGGUUUAAAACGUCGUGAGACAGUUUGGUCCCUAUCUUCUGUGGGCGAAGGAGAAUUGAGAGGGCCUGUCCCUAGUACGAGAGGACCGGGAUGGACGCACCCCUGGUGAUCCUGUUGUCGCGCCAGCGGCAUAGCAGGGUAGCUAUGUGCGGAAGGGAUAACCGCUGAAAGCAUCUAAGCGGGAAGCCUGCCUCAAGAUAAGUUCUCCCCUCGAAAGAGCUGAAGGGCCCGGGUAGACUACCCGGUCGAUAGGCUGGAGGUGUAAGCGCGGCGACGUGCUCAGCUGACCAGUACUAAUAGCCCGAGCGGCUUAUUUUU